rnacentral:rRNA from 1 species
CCGCCCGUCACACCAUGGGAGUCAGUUGCUCCAGAAAUCACCGCGCUAACCGCAAGGAGGCAGGUGCUCAAGGAGUGGCUGGUAACUGGGGUG